AAUUGAACUGGAGGAAGAAAGAAGUAAAGAAGUUGAGGCAGAGAAAGCAGAAGUUAUGUCCAAGGCACCAAGAAUGUUCACAGCAAAGAAACUGGCAGAAAUAUUUGCUACUACUAUUAGCAAUGGCUUUUGGAAAUUACAGAAAUGGAUGUCAAUUACAAGAGAUUCACAAGCGCUGAUGGCAGAUACAGGAUGCUCUUGCUUGCAAUAAAGAGAAAUAUAUAAUGAAAAGAAGAAACAAACCAUACAGUCAAAACUUGCUGUCUUCCAGAAGAACACUGUGCCUGCUAAACCAUCAACAAGUGUAAUGCCCUUCUACUCGCUAUUCUCAAGCCUCUCAGAAGAGAGAGAUUGAUAACCCUGUUGCUGCAAGAUGUCCAUCAUCCAGCAAUUAUUUUUAGUUCAAUGCUUCAGACAUUCUUCAGGCCUAGCGGGCAUUCUUCUGUGUACGUUAUUUCAUGAUGAUAAGGACCUUGAAGACAAAAGUCACGUCUUAUUUGCCAUUUAUCCUCAUCGUAUAGCAGAGGGUGUGUGAGAUCUGCCAUUAUCCCCUGGGCCAUCUAAUUUUUUAUUAGUUAGUUUGUUUGUUUUACUGAGUGUCCAAAUGUCUCUUGCACUAUUGGAGCACAUUUCAUAAUGAAGUGAAAGUGAAUGACAGCAAAAUAUACAUCAAGAUCCCAGGUUACACUUUCUAAUCUGUCUGUACACAUGAAGCCACAGCACCAUGGGAACUGCGGGCCAGAAGGAAGUUUGAGAAAUUUACUCGAUGUAGGUUCUGUGCCAAGGAUUGCUCACCAGAAGCAAGACUAACUUCUCAGACCAAUUUUGUGCUUUAUAUUUAGAGUGCAGAAUGGAGGCAAGGGCAACUGUGAUUAAGAUGACAAUAUAUGCCUCGAUAGCACACUUGAGGAGAUAGUUGAAUAAUGUUUUAAAAGAUACAAAGUAGGACAAUACAUUUCUCUAAAAAUUAAAAUUACAGAAACUGUCAGAUUUUAGUUCAGGAAAAAGAAGUGAAAGGAAAAUAUAUACAGUUGACCUUAAACAGCAUGGGUUUGAACCACAUUGGUCCACUUAUAUGCCAGUUUUCCUCCUCCUCUGCCGAUAACAAGACCAACGCCUUUUCGUCCUUCUCCUCCUCAGAUUAUUCAAUGUGAACAUGGUGAGGAUGAAGACUUUUGUGAUGAUCCACUUCUACUUAAUGAAUAGUAAAUGUAUUUUCUCUUCACUGUGAUUUUCUAAAUAAUAUCUUUUCUCUAGCUUAUUGUAAGAAUGCAGUAUGUAAUACAUACAACAUAUAAAAUGUAUAUUAAUUAACCAUUUGUGUUAUCAGUAAGGUUUUCUGUCAAUAGUAGGUUAUUGGUAGUAACGUUUUUGGGGAGUCAAAAGUUAUCUGUGGAUUUCUCACUGAGCAGAGGGUUGGUGCCUCUCACCCCCACAUUGUUCAAGGGUUAACUGUACAUAAAAUUAAGGUGAUGUAAAAAUAGGAAUAGUCCCUAGAAAUUAAAAUUGUCAGUAAUUGGGUAUUGCCUCUAAAUAAACAUACUGAUGAUAAACUUAUUUAACUGUAAUAAUCCCAUUGUUCAUUAAUAUUUACUCAGAUAUAAAAAAUAUGCCAGAAAUUUGUUAUAAAGCCACCUACUCUAAAGCAAAAUUUGAUGGAAGGCAGAUACUUUUUAGACAUUAUACAUGGAGAUUUAGGAAUUGGAGGCUCAAGAAGAUUUCAUCAUAAUGUAUUUUACCCACAAGGAAGCCCAUGAUAUUGGGUCCUAAGUACUAUGGUAGGGUUGUAUUGUAUUAGUAAAGAUAGCAUAAUCAAUGUUUUUUUUCUCUUUUGUACAAUCAAUGUUUUUUCAUCUUAUCAAAUAUAAGCAACUUGAAUUAUCUUCCAGUCAGUAUGGAAACUCAUGAUUAUACUUUAUUUCUUGGAUUUGAUGCUGUUUGCCAAACAUAUUAUAACUUCUUUAAAAUGUAGUCAAGGUGGGACAGUAUCAAUACUUGUUUUAUAGAUUAGCCAUUUUGCAGUUUCGGCCAUAAUUUUAUAUUUUAUGUGAUUAUUUUAAUCAAGGAAUAUGAUUUGACCCAUGGCCUGACAAACCCAUGUAACAAUGAUCCAUGUUAUAACACAACUAUAAUUCAUAAGGAAUGGAAUAAAGUGGUAAACUGAAUCGAUUUGAAAUCAGACAUAUCUAAUUGAAUUUCAACUUUGCAAAUCCUCUAGCUGUGCAACCUUUGGUAAUUAACCUCUAUGAGCCUCAGUUUCCUCACUGAACAAUAGGAAUGGUAACAUCAGAGGGUUGGUGUGAGAACAAAAUGAAAUUAUACAUGUAAAGUACCUAGAAUAUUGCUUGCCUUACACUAGGGGCUUAAUGCUAAUUCUCUCUUAUUUCUAUGUAAUAAGAAAAGGAGGAACAAUUGACAUCUUUAGGUAGAAAAUUUGGACUAACAGAUGGCCUCAAGAAAGCGAGAGCUAUAUGGUUGCGUGAUUUUUCGAGGAAUCAAAGAGGAAGUACUAGAAUCCUGAAGAAUUCAUAAGGCAGAAAUGAGAUUUAACUACCUCUUGCCAUAGCUAAUGUGGAUUCCAAAAAAAGAAGCCUUGAACACUCUACUCCAGCCGUAACCUCAGGAGUUUCCUCUGGGUAGUAGUGGUUUGUUACUUACUUAACAUGAAGAGACUUAAGUAUGAAGCCAAAAAGUAAAGACUCCUAGACCUAAGGCAUGCCAUCUGCCUAGCAUUAAGCAAGAGCUGAAAGUCAGUUACAGAAGCAAAGUCAUUUCUAACAUGAUUAAUGUUCCAUCCUUGAACGUGGCAGGAAGACUGCAAAAGAUAUUUGGAGGCCAACGUUUCCUCUGAAUAAAGUAAAUAAGUACACGCUAAGCCCCUGUCCCUGGACCAUGCUGGCCUGUUAGAUAAGUUGCCAACGUGGAGUCUGCGAACCUUGGAGCAAACUGACUAUCCAGGAUGAGAAAAUAUCUCAAGGCCAAUGAUCAUUGCUACCGUAAAUGCACACUGCACAGUAUAAACACUGGGGUCAGAUACAGAUAUCCAGGAUAUUACUCAAAAACACAUCUAGCUCAGAGCUGACAAGAUAAUCUGUUCCUGUGAGUGCAAAACAGACUGGAAUGCUGCAGCUAUGACCUACUCAAGGAAAGAAAAAAGAAAGUGAAACUCUCCAAGGGCUCCAUCUCAUGUUCUUUAUGCAGGCAAAACUCCAACAGACUUCAAAGGGAGUGUUGCCUAAGGAGGGAGGACUGGUCCAAGCUCACUGGGGGUAUCAUUUCCAUGAUCAUGUUGCCAUCUACAUUUGGCAGACUGGCAAAUGCAAAUAUUUCAGAUACAAGUUUAAACAGAUGAAAAAAGAAGUGUGAAAUAGCUUGGAGAUUUGCUUGCAAAAGAAACCUCAGAAUUCCAGGAAAAGGAUUUAAAAUCAGAAUCUUCAUAAGUUAUCCAAAAAUCCCACGAGGGUAUUGGUGUGUGAUCAUAUCAAAAAUAAACGUUUUUCAUCAUAUGUUCUCACUCAUAAGUGGGAGCUAAGCUAUGAGGAUGCAAAGGCAUAAGAAUGACACAAUGGACUUUGGGGACUCGGGGGAAAAGGUGUGAAGGGGGUGAGGGAUAAACGACCACAAAUAGGGUGAAGUGUAUACUGCUCAGGUGAUGGGUACACCAAAAUCUCACAAAUCACUGCUAAAGAACAUGUAACCAAAUACCACCUGUUCCCCAAUAACCUAUGGAAAUAAAAAAAUUUAAAACAAAUUUAAAUGGACAUAUAUUGCAUUCUAACAUCACAUGAUCACAAAAUUGUGUAUCUAAAAAAUAAUUUUCCAAACUUUAAGUAUACUCUUUUUUUUUUUUUUUUUUUUUUU